rnacentral:rRNA from 1 species
GGGUCUGUAGGUUGGUCGUGCCACCGGUACGUACUGGUCCCACUGAUUCCUCCUUCCUGAAGAACCUUAAUGCCAUUAAUUUGGUGUUGCGGGGACACAGGACUGUUACUUUGAAAAAAUUAGAGUGUUUAAAGCAAGCUAACGCUUGAAUACAUUAGCAUGGAAUAAUGAAAUAGGACGAUCGAUCCUAUUUUGUUGGUUUCUAGGAUUGACGUA